UGGGGAAUAUUGGACAAUGGGCGAAAGCCUGAUCCAGCCAUGCCGCGUGUGUGAAGAAGGUCUUCGGACUGUAAAGCACUUUAAGUUGGGAGGAAGGGCAGUAAGUUAAUACCUUGCUCUUUUGACGUUACCACCAGAAUAAGCACCGGCUAACUACGUGCCAGCAGCCGCGGUAAUACGUAGGGUGCGAGCGUUAAUCGGAAUUACUGGGCGUAAAGCGUGCGCAGGCGGUCCGUUGUGUCCGAUGUGAAAGCCCCGGGCUUAACCUGGGAAUGGCAUUGGAAACUGGCGGGCUGGAGUGUGGCAGAGGGGGGUGGAAUUCCGCGUGUAGCAGUGAAAUGCGUAGAGAUGCGGAGGAACACCGAUGGCGAAGGCAGCCCCCCGGGCCAACACUGACGCUCAGGCACGAAAGCGUGGGGAGCAA
rnacentral:rRNA from 1 species